GCUAAUCGACAUAAGUUCAAGGACAAGAUUAUUUUUGAGACAUGAGACAGGAAAUAUUUAAUCCCAAUUUUAAAAAUUGCACGAGAUGCUAGUUAAUUAUUAUUAGUGUGGAGAUGUUAGUGAAGAUUAGGAAUUAAUUAUGUGUGCAAUUAAUCAUACAUGGAGGGUAGUGGAGAAAUUAUUAAUUAUCUAGGAAAUUCCGUUAAUCGUUGAAUUAGUAGAAGAUUAGUGAAUUAAUUGUUGAUGAAUGGAUAAGUGUUAAAGGGGGACAACUACUUGCACGUGGAUGCAUGAGCAAAAUGCAUAAGGUGACUAAUGUAAUGUGUGUAUCCAUUUAGUUUACUUUUAGGACCAAAACUCUAUAUAUAAGUAAAGCCAAAAAAAGUUAUGGGUAUCACGGCCAUAGAUGGAUUAUGCUCACUCAUUUAAGUAGAUACUACACUUAAGGUUGAGAUUUGUGUUACGAAAGAAGGACGCUUGGUUUGCUGAAAGUACGGAUACAAGGAAUGAAGUUCCGAAAUGAUUUAAAAAAAAAGUGAUGACGAUAAUUGAAAAUAAUAUUUUAUGUGUGAAAAAUGAAGCUAUGGAUUAGUGCUACGUCACAUAAUCAUGACAAUGAGUAUAUGAAGUGUAUUAAAAAUAAUUGGUAUUAAAGUAAAUUGAGAUUAAGAAAUUAAUUUUGCGUGUGAUUGAUUAAGAGGACAAUUAUAGUGGAAGACAAGAAAUGAAUGGAUAUAAUUGGAUAGUUAUUAGUGGCAUAGUACACGUAUUAAUGGAAAAAAAAGGUUAAAUAUUAAGUUGUUGACUAUGCUUUACACGUGACUUCCUUGGCAAAGUUGCUGAAGAUGAUUAAGCAUGAAAACGGGUAGGUGGCUUUUAAAGAUAGAGACUAUUUCUUUAAAAAUAUUGGACCCCACAGUCCACUACAUGCCCACUACAUAUUACACAACUCUUAUAUUCUUUUGGUGCAACUAUACACAUAUCUUCGCGACAACAUCAAUUCAUCUAAAAUAGCAAGGAUAGAUACAUAUUUCUUACCUUCUUCUUACGCUAGUUAAUGGAAGAUUAGCAGUGGACAACAUUUCUUUUUCUCUUUCGUUCAACACCCAAAACAGAAACAUGAGCUACAAUUUUAAAGAAGCGAAGUGUAAUAUUGUUUUACCAAGGAUAACAUACGGGUUUUUGUAUACCCCUUCAAUCUCGUUGUUUUAUUUUGUCGUGUUGUUAAAUUCGGACUUUCUUCAAAAUGAAGUAAAGGAGAAGGAGAGGAAUUUUUGGCAAAUGAGGUUUAUCAUAUUAAUUGUGGAAGUUCUUGGCUGGACUGAGCCCUUGAACGACGUAAGGUCAGCAGGUAGGCGGAUCUGAUUCCUAGGAGCUCUAUCAGCAGUACUUGGCAGCGCUCCAGUUGUUUCGGAGCCUCAGUUUCUUGGUACUACUUUUGUGUGUAUAAUCGGGCAUGGCAGGAUCCGGCCCUUCAUAUGUAUAUGUGUACGUUGUUUAGAGGCUCGUAGACAGAUAUGUACAGUCAGAUGUUUUGUACUUUUGUUGUCCCUGUCGCUGUAUAAUGUGCUAGCAAAGUUUAUUAGCCUAUGUUCAUAAAUAACUACUAAUGUUAAUGUUAAGUAACAAAAAAAAUAUGAUAUAGUUCAUACGACCCACUAAGGAAUAGAGGUAAAAUGAUAGAUAAGGGGUGCUCGGUACAAGUAUCGGGUACUCGUCACGGCCCCUAGUUGGGUCGUGACAGAAGUGGUAUCAGAGCAGUUCGUCCUAGGGGUUUGUCUACGAGCCGUGUCUAUUAGAGUCUUGUUUAUCGGUGUGUUGUGCACCACAUCUAUAAACAGGAGGCUACAGGACAUUUAGGGUGUUACCUUUCUUUGGAUCUUAGAUCGUGCGAUAGAGCCAGCCAUAAGAAAUGAAAUUCCUUUUUACUAACCCUUGAUUUCAGCCAAAGAACGGCAUCGACAGAAGACAGUGACUGAUGAUAUUGGAAGCUACACAGUACUCAGGUAAGCAAUGGUAUGAAAAAUGUAUAUCGGGGAAGUCAUUUGAGGUAUGAUUGGAAUAUAAAGUUGGAAAUUGAAAGGGAAAGUAAACAGGAAAGUGUAACAGGUGCAGUUUGAGUUGGACAUGUGAGGUAAGUUUCGACAUUUUCAUAUUUUUAUUUGAAACCGUUAGCCCUGUGUGGCUAUGACACGAUAUGAUACGAUAUAUAUAUACGCAUGUGUGUUGGCCCUGUGAGGCAUGGUUGGUAUUUCCUGCGUGCAGGUUUUGGGAUAGUAGGAAAUACAGAGGAAACUUUGCCGAAAUUUCCCUAGAAAUUAAUUACGGGGGUGGAUGAUUAUGAUUGGAUUAUUAUGGGAGAGAAAGGAAUGUUAUUAAUAAAUGUCAAGUGGAGAAUGACAUUAGGCUAAGUAAAGAGAGGCACAUCAUGAUAGAUAAGUUCGAGUUACAAUUGAUUUGUUAUGAGAUCACCAUAACCAGUAUACCUAUAUAGGACUUGUUUAACAUUCGAGGACGAAUGUUCUAAAGGGGGGAAGGAUGUUAUACCCCGUACUUUUGUACAUUGGGUUAUUCGUAAGCUAAUCGACAUAAGUUCAAGGACAAGAUUAUUUUUGAGACAUGAGACAGGAAAUAUUUAAUCCCAAUUUUAAAAAUUGCACGAGAUGCUAGUUAAUUAUUAUUAGUGUGGAGAUGUUAGUGAAGAUUAGGAAUUAAUUAUGUGUGCAAUUAAUCAUACAUGGAGGGUAGUGGAGAAAUUAUUAAUUAUCUAGGAAAUUCCGUUAAUCGUUGAAUUAGUAGAAGAUUAGUGAAUUAAUUGUUGAUGAAUGGAUAAUUGUUAAAGGGGGACAACUACUUGCACGUGGAUGCAUGAGCAAAAUGCAUAAGGUGACUAAUGUAAUGUGUGUAUCCAUUUAGUUUACUUUUAGGACCAAAAAUCUAUAUAUAAGUAAAGCCAAAAAAAGUUAUGGGUCUCACGGCCAUAAAUGGAUUAUGCUCACUCAUUUAAGUAGAUACUACACUUAAGGUUGAGAUUUGUGUUACGAAAGAAGGACGCUUGGUUUGCUGAAAGUACGGAUACAAGGAAUGAAGUUCCGAAAUGAUUUAAAAAAAAAGUGAUGACGAUAAUUGAAAAUAAUAUUUUAUGUGUGGAAAAUGAAGCUAUGGAUUAGUGCUACGUCACAUAAUCAUGACAAUGAAUAUAUGAAGUGUAUUAAAAAUAAUUGAUAUUAAAGUAAAUUGAGAUUAAGAAAUUAAUUUUGCGUGUGAUUGAUUAAGAGGACAAUUAUAGUGGAAGACAAGAAAUGAAUGGAUAUAAUUGGAUAGUUAUUAGUGGCAUAGUACACGUAUUAAUGGAAAAAAAAGGUUAAAUAUUAAGUUGUUGACUAUACUUUACACGUGACUUCCUUGGCAAAGUUGCUGAAGAUGAUUAAGCAUGAAAACGGGUAGGUGGCUUUUAAAGAUAGAGACUAUUUUUUUAAAAAUAUUGGACUCCACAGUCCACUACAUGCCCACUACACAUUACACAACUCUUAUAUUCUUUUGGUGCAACUAUACACAUAUCUUCGGGACAACAUCAAUUCAUCUAAAAUAGCAUGGAUAGAUACAUAUUUCUUACCUUCUUCUUACGCUAGUUAAUGGAAGAUUAGCAGUGGACAACAUUUCUUUUUCUCUUUCGUUCAACACCCAAAACAGAAACAUGAGCUACAAUUUUAAAGAAGCGAAGUGUAAUAUUUUUUUACCAAGGAUAACAUACGGGUUUUUGUAUACCCCUUCAAUCUCGUUGUUUUAUUUUGUCGUGUUGUUAAAUUCGGACUUUCUUCAAAAUGAAGUAAAGGAGAAGGAGAGGAGUUUUUGGAAAAUGAGGUUUAUCAUAUUAAUUGUGGAAGUUCUUGGCUGGACUGAGCCCUUGAACGACGUAAGGUCAGCAGGUAGGCGGAUCUGAUUCCUAGGAGCUCUAUCAGCAGUACUUGGCAGCGCUCCAGUUGUUUCGGAGCCUCAGUUUCUUGGUACUACUUUUGUGUGUAUAAUCGGGCAUGGCAGGAUCCGGCCCUUCAUAUGUAUAUGUGUACGUCGUUUAGAGGCUCGUAGACAGAUAUGUACAGUCAGAUGUUUUGUACUUUUGUUGUCCCUGUCGCUGUAUAAUGUGCUAGCAAAGUUUAUUAGCCUAUGUUCAUAAAUAGCUACUAAUGUUAAUGUUAAGUAACAAAAAAAAUAUGAUAUAGUUCAUACGGCCCACUAAGGAAUAGAGGUAAAAUGAUAGAUAAGGGGUGCUCGGUACAAGUAUCGGGUACUCGUCACGGUCC